UGGGGAAUAUUGGACAAUGGGCGAAAGCCUGAUCCAGCCAUGCCGCGUGUGUGAAGAAGGCCUUUUGGUUGUAAAGCACUUUAAGCGAGGAGGAGGCUACUUGGAUUAAUACUCUAGGAUAGUGGACGUUACUCGCAGAAUAAGCACCGGCUAACUCUGUGCCAGCAGCCGCGGUAAUACAGAGGGUGCGAGCGUUAGUCGGAUUUACUGGGCGUAAAGCGUGCGUAGGCGGCUUCUUAAGUCGGAUGUGAAAUCCCUGAGCUUAACUUAGGGAUUGCAUUCUAUACUGGGAAGCUAGAGUAUGGGGGAGGGUGGUGGAAUUCCAGGUGUGGCGAUGAAAUGCGUGUAGAUCUAGAGGAAUGCCGAUGGCGAAGGCAGGCAUCUGGCCUAAUACUGACUCUGUGGUACGAAAGAAUGGGGGGCAAACAAA
rnacentral:rRNA from 1 species